rnacentral:rRNA from 1 species
CCUACGGGAGGCAGCAGUGGGGAAUAUUGGACAAUGGGCGAAAGCCUGAUCCAGCCAUGCCGCGUGUGUGAAGAAGGCCUUCGGGUUGUAAAGCACUUUCAGUGGGGAAGAAAGCCUUGGGGCUAAUACCCUCGAGGAAGGACAUCACCCACAGAAGAAGCACCGGCUAACUCCGUGCCAGCAGCCGCGGUAAUACGGAGGGUGCGAGCGUUAAUCGGAAUUACUGGGCGUAAAGCGCGCGUAGGCGGUCUGAUAAGCCGGUUGUGAAAGCCCCGGGCUCAACCUGGGAACGGCAUCCGGAACUGUCAGGCUAGAGUGCAGGAGAGGAAGGUAGAAUUCCUGGUGUAGCGGUGAAAUGCGUAGAGAUCGGGAGGAAUACCAGUGGCGAAGGCGGCCUUCUGGACUGACACUGACGCUGAGGUGCGAAAGCGUGGGUAGCAAACAGGAUUAGAUACCCGUGUAGUC